rnacentral:rRNA from 1 species
ACAGCAGUAGCCACGGUAAUACAGAGGGUGCGAGCGUUAAUCGGAUUUACUGGGCGUAAAGCGUGCGUAGGCGGCUUCUUAAGUCGGAUGUGAAAUCCCUGAGCUUAACUUAGGAAUUGCAUUCGAUACUGGUUAGCUAGAGUGUGGGAGAGGAUGGUAGAAUUCCAGGUGUAGCGGUGAAAUGCGUAGAGAUCUGGAGGAAUACCGAUGGCGAAGGCAGCCAUCUGGCCUAACACUGACGCUGAGGUACGAAAGCAUGGGGAGCAAACAGGAUUAGAUACCCCCGUAGUCCCUGUCUCUUAUAC